rnacentral:rRNA from 3 species
UGAGGAAUAUUGGUCAAUGGGCGCAGGCCUGAACCAGCCAAGUAGCGUGAAGGAUGACUGCCCUAUGGGUUGUAAACUUCUUUUAUAUGGGAAUAAAGUUUUCCACGUGUGGAAUUUUGUAUGUACCAUAUGAAUAAGGAUCGGCUAACUCCGUGCCAGCAGCCGCGGUAAUACGGAGGAUCCGAGCGUUAUCCGGAUUUAUUGGGUUUAAAGGGAGCGUAGGUGGACAGUUAAGUCAGUUGUGAAAGUUUGCGGCUCAACCGUAAAAUUGCAGUUGAUACUGGCUGUCUUGAGUACAGUAGAGGUGGGCGGAAUUCGUGGUGUAGCGGUGAAAUGCUUAGAUAUCACGAAGAACUCCGAUUGCGAAGGCAGCUCACUGGACUGCAACUGACACUGAUGCUCGAAAGUGUGGGUAUCAAACAGG